rnacentral:misc_RNA from 1 species
UUGUGGAGGAGGACGCCGAAGGUGGGGCUAAUGACUGGGGUGAAGUCGUAACAAGGUAGCCGUACCGGAAGGUGCGGCUGGAUCACCUCCUAACAGGGAGACAACAAAAUGUUUAAUAUUAUUAUUUUGUCACCUUAGGUCGAUCGGUAUCUCACGUUCUUAAUUUAUUAAGAAUUUCAUUUCCUAAGUUUUUCUAGGUCACACCCAUUAUUUUCCUGGGCCAUUAGCUCAGGUGGUUAGAGCGCACCCCUGAUAAGGGUGAGGUCCCUGGUUCAAGUCCAGGAUGGCCCAUAUCUCUAUGUUGGGGGUAUAGCUCAGUUGGUAGAGCGCCUGCUUUGCAAGCAGGAUGUCAGCGGUUCGAGUCCGCUUACCUCCACUGAUUACCACCUCUUCCAUAAUCUGUAGAAAGGAAAAUUUUUGAGUUGUGAUUAUUAUUCUGAACGAAUCUAGCUUCCUAAUGAAACCAUUAAGAUGCUGGACUCAUUGAAUUAAUUUCAUUGUUUUCAGAGAACCUUGACAACUGCAUAGAUUAUUUUUAAAGACAAUAAGCAUUUUUAAUGAUGCAGAUUUAUUAUUUGUGCAAAUGCAUUAAUAACAAUUCUAUUAAGCUGAUGCUUCAAUUAUGAAGUUAUUAGUCAAGCUACAA